GGUUAAGUUAUGAAGGGCGCAUGGUGGAUGCCUUGGUACUAGGAGCCGAUGAAGGACGGGACUAACACCGAUAUGCUUCGGGGAGCUGUACGUAAGCUUUGAUCCGGAGAUUUCCGAAUGGGGAAACCCAAUCAUCUUUACCGAUGAUUACAACUUGAUGAAUACAUAGUCAAGUUGAGGCAGACGUGGGGAACUGAAACAUCUAAGUACCCACAGGAAGAGAAAGAAAAAUCGAUUCCCUAAGUAGCGGCGAGCGAACGGGGAACAGCCCAAACCAGAAAGCUUGCUUUCUGGGGUUGUAGGACUGAACAUUUGAGUUACCAAAGUUGAUGAUAACCGAAGAGUCUGGGAAGGCUCGGCAUAGAGGGUGAUACCCCCGUAGGUGAAAUCGUCAACCCUCAGUUCAGGAUCCUGAGUACGGCCACACACGUGAAACGUGGUCGGAAUCUGGGAGGACCAUCUCCCAAGGCUAAAUACUCCCUAGUGACCGAUAGUGAACCAGUACCGUGAGGGAAAGGUGAAAAGCACCGCGGAAGCGGAGUGAAAUAGUUCCUGAAACCAUGUGCCUACAAUUAGUUAGAGCCCGUUAAUGGGUGAUAGCGUGCCUUUUGUAGAAUGAACCGGCGAGUUACGUUAAUUUGCAAGGUUAAGGUGGAAAGACCGGAGCCGUAGCGAAAGCGAGUCUGAAACGGGCGUUUCAGUAAAUUGAUGUAGACCCGAAACCAGGUGACCUACCCAUGUCCAGGUUGAAGGUGCGGUAAAACGCACUGGAGGACCGAACCCGUGUAUGUUGAAAAAUGCUGGGAUGAGGUGUGGGUAGCGGUGAAAUUCCAAACGAACUUGGAGAUAGCUGGUUCUCUCCGAAAUAGCUUUAGGGUUAGCCUCGGAGUUAAGAAUCGUGGAGGUAGAGCCACUGUUUGGACUAGGGGCCCGUCAUGGGUUACUGAAUUCAGAUAAACUCCGAAUGCCACAGAUUUAUAUCCGGGAGUCAGACGAUGAGUGAUAAGAUCCACCGUCGAAAGGGGAACAGCCCAGACCACCAAUUAAGGUCCCUAAAUACAUGCUGAGUGGAAAAGGAUGUGGAGUUGCAUAGACAGCUAGGAUGUUGGCUCAGAAGCAGCCACCAUUUAAAGAGUGCGUAAUAGCUCACUAGCCGAGUGAUUCUGCGCCGAAAAUUUACCGGGGCUAAGCAUGUUACCGAAAUUGUGGAUUCGACCGUAAGGUCGAGUGAUAGGAGAGCGUUCUAAGGGCAACGAAGCAAGAUCGCAAGGACUUGUGGAGCGCUUAGAAGUGAGAAUGCCGGUAUGAGUAGCGAAAGAUCAGUGAGAAUCUGAUCCACCGAAUGACUAAGGUUUCCUGGGGAAGGCUCGUCCUCCCAGGGUUAGUCGGGACCUAAGCCGAGGCCGCAAGGCGUAGGCGAUGGAUAACAGGUUGAUAUUCCUGUACUAGUUAAUCAUGUUUGAACGAUGGAGGGACGCAGGAGGCUAUGGUGUGCACACGAUUGGAAAUGUGUGUUCAAGCGUCAAGUCUGGUGAUGAGUCAAAUGCUUAUCGCUAAGGACAAGGCGUGACGAGGACCGAAUUUUAGUAGGGAAGCGCCAGAUGUCACACUGCCGAGAAAAGCUUCUAGUUAGUGAUUAAUUACCCGUACCGCAAACCGACACAGGUAGUCGAGGAGAGUAUCCUAAGGUGAGCGAGUGAACUCUCGUUAAGGAACUCGGCAAAAUGACCCCGUAACUUCGGGAGAAGGGGUGCUGCACGCAAGUGCAGCCGCAGUGAAAAGGCCCAGGCGACUG
rnacentral:rRNA from 1 species